rnacentral:rRNA from 1 species
UACGAAGGGGGCUAGCGUUGUUCGGAUUUACUGGGCGUAAAGCGCACGUAGGCGGAUCGUUAAGUCGGGGCUGAAAUCCUGGAGCUCAACUCCAGAACUGCCUUCGAUACUGGCGAUCUCGAGUCCGGAAGAGGUGAGUGGAACUCCUAGUGUAGAGGUGGAAUUCGUAGAUAUUAGGAAGAACACCAGUGGCGAAGGCGGCUCACUGGUCCGGUACUGACGCUGAGGUGCGAAAGCGUGGGGAGCAAACAGG